GCUUUUGUGGUGUAGUUGGUACGUCAGUCUAACACACACCGAUGGUCUCCAGUUCGAAACUAGGCGAAGCCA
rnacentral:tRNA from 1 species